rnacentral:rRNA from 1 species
AGAGUUUGAUCCUGGCUCAGGAUGAACGCUGGCGGUCUGCUUAACACAUGCAAGUCGAACGGAGGUAGAAAUACCUUAGUGGCGGACGGGUGAGUAACGCGUGAGAAUCUGCCAAAAGGACGGGGACAACAGGGGGAAACCGCUGCUAAAACCCGAUGUGCCGGAAGGUAAAAAAUUUAUUGCCUUUUGAUGAGCUCGCGUCAGAUUAGCUAGUUGGUGAGGUAAAGGCUCACCAAGGCGACGAUCUGUAGCUGGUCUGAGAGGACGACCAGCCACACUGGGACUGAGACACGGCCCAGACUCCUACGGGAGGCAGCAGUGGGGAAUUUUCCGCAAUGGGCGAAAGCCUGACGGAGCCAGACCGCGUGGGGGACGAAGGCUCUUGGGUUGUAAACCCCUUUUCUCAGGGAAGAAAAAAAUGACGGUACCUGAGGAAUAAGCAUCGGCUAACUCCGUGCCAGCAGCCGCGGUAAGACGGAGGAUGCAAGCGUUAUCCGGAAUGAUUGGGCGUAAAGCGUCCGCAGGUGGCUAUUCAAGUCUGCUGUCAAAGAGCAAGGCUCAACCUUGUCAAGGCAGUGGAAACUGAAAGGCUAGAGUGUGGUAGGGGUAGAGGGAAUUCCCAGUGUAGCGGUGAAAUGCGUAGAGAUUGGGAAGAACACCGGUGGCGAAGCGCUCUCUGGACCUGCACUGACACUGAGGGACGAAAGCUAGGGGAGCGAAUGGGAUUAGAUACCCCAGUAGUCCUAGCCGUAAACGAUGGAAACUAGGUGUGGCCUGUAUCGACCCGGGCCGUGCCGUAGCUAACGCGUUAAGUUUCCCGCCUGGGGAGUACGCACGCAAGUGUGAAACUCAAAGGAAUUGACGGGGGCCCGCACAAGCGGUGGAGUAUGUGGUUUAAUUCGAUGCGACGCGAAGAACCUUACCAGGACUUGACAUGUCGCGAACCCCUUUGAAAGGAGGGGGUGCCUUAGGGAGCGCGAACACAGGUGGUGCAUGGCUGUCGUCAGUUCGUGUCGUGAGAUGUUGGGUUAAGUCCCGCAACGAGCGCAACCCUCGUCCUUAGUUGCCAUCAUUAAGUUGGGAACUCUAGGGAGACUGCCGGUGACAAACCGGAGGAAGGUGGGGAUGACGUCAAGUCAGCAUGCCCCUUACGUCCUGGGCGACACACGUACUACAAUGGUUGGGACAGAGGGCAGCCAGACUGCGAAGUCGAGCUAAUCCCGUAAACCCAGCCUCAGUUCAGAUCGCAGGCUGCAACUCGCCUGCGUGAAGGAGGAAUCGCUAGUAAUCGCAGGUCAGCAUACUGCGGUGAAUCCGUUCCCGGGCCUUGUACACACCGCCCGUCACACCAUGGGAGUUGGCCACGCCCGAAGUCGUUACUCUAACCCGCAAGGGAGGAGGACGCCGAAGGCAGGGCUGAUGACUGGGGUGAAGUCGUAACAAGGUAGCCGUACCGGAAGGUGUGGCUGGAUCACCUCCUUUAUAGGGAGACCCGCUUCAUCUGUCAUUAAGACAGAGAGAAGAUAUCCCGAGGUCGUGACCGGGUGAAGAAUCAAGGCUUUCAAACUAUUAAACGGUUCAGAAAAUGGGCUAUUAGCUCAGGUGGUUAGAGCGCACCCCUGAUAAGGGUGAGGUCCCUGGUUCGAGUCCAGGAUGGCCCACCUGAAUAGAAGCGAGAAAAGAGGAAAAACACCUCAAGACAAACUUCUCUAGUGGGGGUAUAGCUCAGUUGGUAGAGCGCUGCCUUUGCAAGGCAGAUGUCAGCGGUUCGAGUCCGCUUACCUCCACUCAACCAACAGCAAAACAGCCACUGCAAGGCCCUAAAAAAAGUCAGCUCGUCAUUGCCAAAUCAAAGAAAAAGCGGUUAGAAUAAGAAGCCGCUCAAUGAAAAGGCAAAGCGCCGAGCAGCGGAAAAAAAUUCAGCAACUGAACUUGAAACAAAAACAAGCCAGCCUGCUGGAGGAAAUUCCAGUCAGAACCUUGAAAACUGCAUAGCAACAAGUCAGGUAGAAAGUGUCAGGCAAUUAGCAAAGCACAGCUCUAAAGGUAGUGCCGAGUCAAUUGCCACACAGGCAAUCAAAGAAAAGAUCGUGGUCAAGCUACAAAGGGCUGACGGUGGAUACCUAGGCACACAGAGGCGAAG